UACGGGGGGGGCAAGCGUUGUUCGGAAUUACUGGGCGUAAAGGGCUCGUAGGCGGCCAACUAAGUCAGACGUGAAAUCCCUCGGCUUAACCGGGGAACUGCGUCUGAUACUGGAUGGCUUGAGUUUGGGAGAGGGAUGCGGAAUUCCAGGUGUAGCGGUGAAAUGCGUAGAUAUCAGGAGGAACACCGGUGGCGAAGGCGGGUCUCUGGGCAGUAACUGACGCUGAGAAGCGAAAGCGUGGGGAGCGAACAGG
rnacentral:rRNA from 1 species